AGAGUGAACGCUGGCGGCAGGCCUAACACAUGCAAGUCGAACGGCAGCACAGGAGAGCUUGCUCUCUGGGUGGCGAGUGGCGGACGGGUGAGGAAUACGUCGGAAUCUGCCUAUUUGUGGGGGAUAACGUAGGGAAACUUACGCUAAUACCGCAUACGACCUACGGGUGAAAGCGGAGGACCUUCGGGCUUCGCGCAGAUAGAUGAGCCGACGUCGGAUUAGCUAGUGGCGGGUAAAGCCCACAAGGCGACGAUCCGUAGCUGGUCUGAGAGGAUGAUCAGCCACACUGGAACUG
rnacentral:rRNA from 1 species